UCACCAACCUGGUGCUCUCCAUAUGUUUUGGACUACAACUCCCAUAAGCUGCAGUCAGCAAGGUCAUGCUGACUGGGCUAAUGGGAGUUGUAGUCCAAAAUGGCCAUGCUGGCUAGGGCUGAUAGGAGUUGUAGACAGAAACAUCUGGUGGGCACCAGGUUGGCAAA